rnacentral:rRNA from 1 species
UACGUAGGAUGCAAGCGUUAAUCGGAAUUACUGGGCGUAAAGCGUGCGCAGGCGGUUAUGUAAGACAGAUGUGAAAUGCCCGGGCUUAACCUGGGAACUGCAUUUGUGACUGCAUGGCUAGAGUUUGGCAGAGGGGGGUAGAAUUCCACGUGUGAGCAGUGAAAUGCGUAGAUAUGUGGAGGAACACCGAUGGCGAAGGCAGCCCCCUGGGUCAAGACUGACGCUCAUGCACGAAAGCGUGGGGAGC